rnacentral:tRNA from 1 species
GCGGGUGUGGCGGAACUGGUAGACGCGCCGGGUUUAGGACCCGGUGGGCAAUGCCCUUGGAGGUUCAAGUCCUCUCACCCGCA